CGGGCUGAGGUGAGGGGUCGGCAGCGACGAGCGGGGUGCAGGCGUUCCCGGGAAAUCUCCCUUGAUCCAAUUAUGAAAAAAUGUUUAGAAAAGGAAAAAAACGACACAGCAGCAGCAGCUCACAAAGCAGUGAAAUCAGUACUAAAAGCAAGGUUUUGGAAUGAUCAGUUGAAUAUUCUGGAUUUUCCAAGGUGCCGUUUCACUUCCCUUGCACUGCUAUGUUAUUUCAAGCAUUGGUGACAAGCAUGUAGUUGUCAAUUUCUUCAAGUUAAGAUGCAGUACCAGAAAAGUCUGGACAUAACCUUAAGGUUCAUUUUCUCUUUUUCUUUUAUUUCCUCCUUCUUUCAAAAUAUCUGUGGACUUCUCAAGGGUUCCUGCUGCAUUUAUAUCAAUCUAAUCUACAUUGAGGCAGAAAGAUAACUUCAGGAAAGAAAUAGGUGGUGGUAUGGUUUUUUUCUCCCCAUUUUGCAGUGCUGCUUAAGUAAUUAGAACAUCAACACUAGUUUAUUUUAAUAAAGGAGUUGAGGCAGGGCAUCUGAAAGUGAAUUGUUCAUAUUUUCUCAGUAACUUUCUGAUGAUACUGCUUUUUUUCUUAGUCUGUAGAUUCCAGUCUUGGAGGACUUUCCAGGUCUAGUACUGUGGCUAGUCUAGAUACAGACUCCACGAAAAGUUCAGGACAAAGCAAUAGUAAUUCUGAUGCAUGUGCAGAAUUCAGAGUUAAAUAUGUUGGUGCCAUUGAAAAACUGAAAUAUAAUGAGAGCAAAAAUCUUGAAGGGCCAUUGGACUUGAUAAAUUACAUAGAUGUUGCACAGGUAAGUGGGUUACAAAAGACAGUACUAACAAUGUCAGAACAUGUGACACUUAUGUGUAUUUCUUUCAUACUAUGACGUGAUCUGACAUCUUUCUUUGUACAUCUUAGACUUACUAGAAUGCAGUAGCUUACUUUAAAAAACCAUGAAGCUAUGAAUCUCAAAAGCUGUCAUACUCAAUUCCAUCCUAUCGAGUAACUGGAGAAGAUGCACCCAAAAAGCUGUUCUGAAGAAACAGGCUCAUGAGUCAUUACUGAACAAGUAUCCCAACUGAUAGUUGUUAUAUAGUCCUCAGCGCUGUUAGGAUUAGUAUCCAGGAAGGAGUAUCUCCUCCAGAUUUCCUCAGUACUGUAGAAGUUUUCUCGUAGAGGAAAAUGUCAAGUUUCUGCUUAUAAACACUUAUAAACCUCAAUAAUAUUUGGGUCAUCCUUGCCAAACUUUGGUUGCUUGUACUUAUUUUUGUACUAAAAGCUGUAACUGGUUAUUCUCAUUAGGUAGCUGAUCAUUUGUGUCUUUAAAAGCACAGAAUGUCUGUUUAUCUUACAGCAACUUGACAUGCCAGGUAUCUGAAUAUAUGCUAAAACUAUAUUUACAGUCAAAUAACAAAAUUGCUGCCAGUGUGGAACAUAGAUCACCCAGGGUCAGUGCAGCACGACAGGGCGUGCGUUAUUUUUCAGCCCAUUUGAUUUAACCACAGGGCCGGAUUUGCCCCUGAGAUGAUAAAUUCCUUUCUGGAAUCAUGUAAUAUUUAGAAUAGAAUAGAAUACUUUCAGUUGGGACCUACAACCGUCAUCUAGUCCAACUGCCUGACCACUUCAGGGCUGACCAAAAGUUAAAGCAUGUUAUUAAAAUAAGGGCAUUGCCUAAAUGCUUCUUAAACACUGACAGGCUUGGGGCAUUGACCACCUCUCUGGGAAGCCUGUUCCAGUGUUUGACCACCCUCUCAGUAACGAAAUGCUUCAUAAUGUCCAGUCUGAACCUCCCCUGAAUAUAUUUCACGUAACAUUAAGAGAUUGGACAAGUGUAAGAGUGGCAGGCAGACUGCACACAGCAAGGUAUGAGCAGGGUUAGCCAUGUUGCUGAUCCAGUGGACUGAAGUACACAAACACAUUUUCUGUUAUGUAUCUUUAUUGUUUAUGUUCUUCUGUCUGCACUAAAGGCUUUUGUUUGUUUCCCUCCAAAGCAAGAUGGAAAGUUACCUUUUGUUCCAGGUGAAGAGGAGUUUAUUAUGGGAGUUUCCAAAUAUGGCAUUAAAGUUUCAACAUCUGAUCAGUAUGUAAGUGAUUCACAGCAAACUGUCUUUUUGGUGAGAGCUGAAAAGUGUUUUCAGUUAUUUGUCUGACAGAUGAUCUGUGUGACCAAAAUGUGACUUCUGGUUUUAAGCAAACAAACAAAAAAGGUCUCACAGCAGCAAUGCUUCAUGUCGUAUUUCCUCAGGACUCUCUGUAUUUUCCUGGUUGGAUUUAUGACAAAAAUCCAUUCCUUUUGAGAUAGAGCACCAGACAAAAGGCAAGCAAGCCUUUAUGCUCUUUGGGCAUAUCUUCCUUUCUCUGUGGCUCUCCUGCCAUCCUCUUACGUUGAAAAGUAGCAUGACUGUGGUGGCCAAGACUGUAGGUUCCUCAGCCUGAGUUAGUAAUGCAAUUCCUGUUGGUGUUAUUGUGGAGAGGAAAAAACAAAGGAUGGUUUUUUUUCAAGAAUACCUGAGUUGUCUUCCUCUUUGAAGUGCCAGCCUUGCACUCCUAAUCCAAGAGUAUGAGUUCACUCCAGCAUUAAAGCCUCAUGAUUCCACUUUAUUGAUCAAGCCUAUUUUUUGUUUGCAUCAUUUCCUACAUGUAGUUUAUUUUCCUUUAGUGCACUUCAAGUAGCUUUUUUUGCUAAAAAUAAAAAUCCGGUCUCUUCCCCAGGGCCCUCCAGUUGCCUUUGCGUAGCUUUGUAUUGCAGCCAUGUGGUUUCCUUCUGGUUGCCCUCAGAGCCCCAGAUACCAUAAAUACUUGCCCUUAUGAAGUCAUGACCCAUCAACAACCCAGCAAUGCUUGUUCAUAAAAGCCUCGAGUAUGAGGACAGUGAAUAGCAUUGCUCAAUGGCUGAAUACUCUGAAGAGAGCCAAAACAUUUCCUUUGGUCCCUUCAGAAAAUAAAACACUUGUUUCUAAUGCCUAGGAGGAAGUGUAGUAGUUGUUACUCAGACUUUGAAUUCUUUUGGGUUCUGUUUUUGCUGUCCUUCUAAAUUCUUAAUUCUCAUUAAGAACAUAGGUUACACUAUUCUCUAACUUCCUUUGUACUUUGAUAAAGAUCAAAUAGGUAAUUUUAAGGCUUUGAUCCAUCAUUCUUCUGGCUUCAAGCUGAAAGCAUGCACAAGCUGAUAAAGCCUGCUGUGAUUAAGCUAGCUUGCACUGGCAUUUUAUUGCAUUGCAUUCUAUUUCCCAAAUUCUGGCUUUUUGCAUCUGUGUCACUGUUGACAUUUGAUUUUAGUGUGUUAGUAGUCCACCUAAUUUUCAUAGAGUUCCAAGAUGGAAAGGUUUUCUCUGCAUUCAUAGAAAGAAUUCAGUCUUUUGUGACUUUGGGGGAAAGGUGAGAGUUCUGUGAUUUGUAGCUACCUUUGCAGGUGAACAGGCAGCUAGCUAUUUCAGAGGUCAAAAAGAGAACUGACUGCAGGAUACAAAAUUUCUCCUCAUGGAUUUCAGCCAACAUUUGAGUAGAGGACUCUCCCUCAAGGGUUUCAUAGCGGCAUCAAGCUCACUGUCCACUUUACAGCUUCUGUAAAAGUGGGUGUUUCUUUAGACCCUUCAGCUACUGAUGGGGACAAGGUGUUUGAUGCCAUGAACAUAGAAGAUAAAACUGUCUUGAAGUUGUAAGACCCUAGAGGUCGUACAACUGGAAUAAACCAGAUGAAUAUUAACAGUUGGGUAGGACGGCUUGAGAAGAAAGGCUUUGUGUAGGGUAGGUCCACAGAGACCUUGUACUGGACAGUAUCAACCAGUCUCUUUUUGGAAUGGCAAAGAUCAGACCUGUAGGGACUAUGGUGAAACCCUGCAACUGCGGUGGAGGCUAGAAGUCUCCCAGACUAGAUCUCUGCAAGAGUCAGGCCCCAUGCUGUGGCUCAGGCCACAGGUGGCCUGGCUGUAUCCACAUACCUAGUCCCCCUUCACCCCAAAGCAACUGACCUUGUCCAUACCCUCUUCUGGAACAGUUUCUCAUGUGUACCCUUCCCAGAACAGAGACAGGGGACUGAAGAAAUACUGGAAAAAUAAAAAGUUAUUUUAAGUUACCUCUGUGCCAGAGGUACAGAGUGUACCUACCACCUGUCCUACUCAGAGGGCGAGGGAGGACAGGUGGGAAAUGAGUGCGUGCUUUUGUAGCAUGGCCAGGAAUGUAGUCCACAUAUGAAUGCAAUUCUAAAAUACAAGUAACAAUUAAAGCUGAAAUUGUGUUAAACUACCACUUAAUUUUUUAAUUCUUGACUAAACUCUCAAUUAAAAAAUUGUAAUUUUUCCCAAGGAAUACUUUUCUCCUGUAAAUUAAUCUGAAGUAUUCUUUUGUAAGAGAGAGAAUCAAAACAUGUGGAAAACUGAAAUAGCCCUUGCACUGUUCCAGAGUAACUUUUAUUUGCCACAUGGUUUCAGGAUGUGUUACAUAGGCAUGCUCUCUAUUUAAUUGUACGGAUGGUCUGCUAUGAUGACGGUCUGGGAGCAGGAAAAAGUUUACUGGCUUUGAAGACAACAGAUGCAGCCUCUGAAGAAUGCAGCCUUUGGGUAUAUCAGUGCAAUAGUUUGGUAAGAGUUUAUGUUUACAGUAUUUAAUUUAGGUAUUGGUAUUUUGAUUUUAAAGGGAGAUCCUAAAACCCAAGGCCCUUGUGAAGGCUUUUUGGCAGAAGGGGGAUUGCUCAAUUAAAAAUAAGAGUAUAAAUGUGCCCUGGUUGAGGAGGGGAGAAGAGCCCUGCUGACUGCAUUUGGUCAGCUUUGAGGAAAAAAUACCUACAUUCCCUAAAUUGCCAAUGAAAAUUGGCCUGAGAAAGCUCUGUGCAAUCUAAAGAGUGCUAUGGUAGCUACUAAGGACAAUCCUCCAUUUGUAUUUUCAAAGACAAAAACCUCUUAAGAUCAGACAGAGCAGGGAGGGAUUGUGCAACAAUUCUGGUACUAGAGUGUGCAUUCAUAUUUAUAAGCAAGGGAAGCAAUCUCCUCUAAAGAGUAGGAGAAUUCAUUGUCAAGAUACUACAGUAUGACACGUGGGGGAACACGUGAACUGACUUUCUGAAUGCUAGUGUCAUGCUAUGAUGAAAGCUAACAACUCUGACUUGUUUCAAAAGAGCUCAUUUAAAACAGCUUCCCACGUCAUUGCAGACCACAGAAAUCAAAUUCAAUCUCACUUGUGCUACUCCAUUUUGCAUGUCUCUGCCAAAAGAAUGAUAAAGGUCACAUUCUGCUUUAAAUGAGUUUUGAGAUGUUUAGAAGUUCUUCGGAAAGUGUUAGUGUGCAUGUUUUUUUGGGUUUUUUUAGGAACAAGCACAAGCAAUUUGCAAAGUGUUAUCUACAGCCUUUGAUUCAGUUUUGAUGUCAGAGAAGUCCUGAUUUUCCUCAGCAGCACGUGACUGUAGCACAAGUGGCCUUUGUGUGGGGAGGAAAUGGGGGUCCUUUGUGAUACCACAGACUGGCUGCAGCUACACACAACCCUGGAAAAGACUUGCUGUGCAAAAAAGAGCCAUGCAACCUUGCACACGGUACUUUGUCAUUCCCAAACAUGACUUGAAGAAAUUAUUCCAUCUUCAGUUUCCAGGACAAUACAGAAUUUUAUAUUUAACAUGAAUUUUUUUUCCUAAAUUGUGUUUUGUAUAUUAAUGUCAAUAUUGUGGCAAUGUAAAAUAAAACUGACACUUGCUUCUA